rnacentral:misc_RNA from 1 species
GUAUGCGAAUCAAUCAUUGCACCUUUGGUAGAACUUGUUGAACAUUCUCCUUCAGAACAGCAUCCAGCCACUUCCCAGCAACAGCAGUAUUUAAAACAACCAGGUCAGCCUUAAGAGCUGUAUCUAUGGCACUCUGACCUUUUGCAGACAAGACCUAACAAUAAAUAAAAUUCAUCAUCAGGAAGACCAUAAACGAAGUCAUCAAAAUUACAAAGAAUAUCAGUUUCUCUAUUUCAGAAAAAAAGAAAGACAAUCCCAGGAUUAGUCUAGCUGGUAAGCAGGUUGGCUCUCCAUCUUAUUCCUGGGGUUCUAAUAUUGGGGCUAGACCACAAAGGAGCUAUUUCUUUUUCUUGAAAAUCCCUUAUCCCUAGAGUGGCAGUCUGCCUUUGACAAGACCAAGGCAGUUGAAUCAUGGUGCACAAAGUUGGCCCCUGGACUCCUCGGUCCAACAUUUUAUGCUCCAAACUGUAGAUCACCUCAUCAGGUUCCACCGGUUUCUGGUUAGUUAUCCAAACAACUUGGGAACCAACACCUCUUAACAGAAACGCCAACUCCAUCAACAACAAAGGACCACCAGAAAGAGAAAGCUCGUGGGAUACAAGGAGAACGAGUUUCGACUUCAUGAAAUCAAGAGGAUUCGGAGCAACACUGGGUCUAUGAGAAGCGGAGUAAAAUUGAGCUUUUGGAACUUCAUUUGCUUCUCUAAAAUGGUGAUUAGUACUGCUAGGGGUAGAAUGACAGGAAUCGAAGGCAGAUCUCAUGAAAAACACCAUUACAGUUGAUAGAGUGAACAAU